GACGAACGCUGGCGGCGUGCCUAAUACAUGCAAGUAGAACGCUGAAGGAGGAGCUUGCUUCUCCGGAUGGGUUGCGAACGGGUGAGUAACGCGUAGGUAACCUGCCUGGUAGCGGGGGAUAACUAUUGGAAACGAUAGCUAAUACCGCAUAACAGUAGAUGUUGCAUGACAUUUGCUUAAAAGGUGCAAUUGCAUCACUACCAGAUGGACCUGCGUUGUAUUAGCUAGUUGGUGAGGUAACGGCUCACCAAGGCGACGAUACAUAGCCGACCUGAGAGGGUGAUCGGCCACACUGGGACUGAGACACGGCCCAGACUCCUACGGGAGGCAGCAGUAGGGAAUCUUCGGCAAUGGACGGAAGUCUGACCGAGCAACGCCGCGUGAGUGAAGAAGGUUUUCGGAUCGUAAAGCUCUGUUGUAAGAGAAGAACGAGUGUGAGAGUGGAAAGUUCACACUGUGACGGUAUCUUACCAGAAAGGGACGGCUAACUACGUG
rnacentral:rRNA from 1 species